AACGAACGCUGGCGGCAGGCUUAACACAUGCAAGUCGAACGCCCCGCAAGGGGAGUGGCAGACGGGUGAGUAACGCGUGGGAACAUACCCUUUCCUGCGGAAUAGCUCUGGGAAACUGGGAUUAAUACCGCAUACGCACUACGGGGGAAAGAUUUAUCGGGGAAGGAUUGGCCCGCGUUGGAUUAGCUGGUUGGUGGGGUAAAGGCCUACCAAGGCGACGAUCCAUAGCUGGUCUGAGAGGAUGAUCAGCCACAUUGGGACUGAGACACGGCCCAAACUCCUACGGGAGGCAGCAGUGGGGAAUAUUGGACAAUGGGCGCAAGCCUGAUCCAGCCAUGCCGCGUGAGUGAUGAAGGCCUUAGGGUUGUAAAGCUCUUUCACCGAUGAAGAUAAUGACGGUAGUCGGAGAAGAAGCCCCGGCUAACUUCGUGCCAGCCGCCGCAGUAACAC
rnacentral:rRNA from 1 species